rnacentral:lncRNA from 1 species
UGUGUGCAUCAUUUCGUUUUGUUGAAAUCAGGACAUUUAUAUUUAGUGGAGGAAGGAACACGCGAAUGCAGUUCAUGCCGUCCCUAGCAUAUUACGCUUGUGGCGACGUCAAAUUAUGAUAACGGACAAACUUGCAAGACAUUUUCAUUAAUCCGUAUUUUUUAUAGAUAACCCUGUAAUCUGAAUGCUAUUUGGUGUACCAAAUUCAACUUUAAAAGUACUUUUUAUUGGUUAAGUUGUCAAAGCCGAAAAUUAAUCUUCACGAAAUCAAAUCUCUGUUUU